rnacentral:rRNA from 1 species
UACGUAGGGGGCAAGCGUUGUCCGGAAUCAUUGGGCGUAAAGAGCGUGUAGGCGGCUCGGUAAGUCCGCUGUGAAAGUCCAGGGCUCAACCCUGGAAAGCCGGUGGAAACUGUCGAGCUCGAGUCCGGAAGAGGCGAGUGGAAUUCCUGGUGUAGCGGUGAAAUGCGCAGAUAUCAGGAGGAACACCAAUGGCGAAGGCAGCUCGCUGGGACGGUACUGACGCUGAGACGCGAAGCGUGGGAGCGAACAGGAUAGA